CUGGAGAUCCCUGUGUACCUGAGGCCUUCCACAGCAUGAAGAGUCUGCCUGCAGCGCAGCGGGGCUCAAGGAGCUGCAGCUCUUGCUGUUUGGUGGUAGGGCUGAAGAUAACCGGCUCUGACGUGCCGGCUGCCGGCAGAGAGCUGCAGUGACUGCAGCAGGCCUUCUGUGAGCCCUGAGGUACAAAGGAAUUGUAGCAUCAUUAGAGGCAAAUGUUUCAAACGUGCUCUGCAAUGGCCUGAUCCUUCUCUGGUGGAAGAAGAUGGAAAAUAUUCUCCUGACUUCAAAGGGGAGUGGGGUGAGUUUGCAGCCAAACCCCCCUGGAAAUCCCACCCGGCGCUUGAUUUUUCUUGACCCGAAGGCCUGUUCAGAGCUCUGCUCCACAAAGUGAGUUUUCAGGAGUGAGUUCAGCCCUGGCUUCACAUAGGAGCAGCAUCUGAACUGCUGCAAGCCCAGAGGAUGACUUGGCCCUCCUGAGUGCUGGUUUCUGCUGUGGGCGUCCUGCUGGCACGGCUCUGGCCGUGGGGACUCUUAGGGCAAUGGGAUUCCUAGUGGGGUGCUUCAGUUCGGAGGGGUGAACUCCAGCCAGGCUGCCUGGAGCGGGAUGGGAGGAGCUGGGGCACCAUCACAGGAGCUUUGCUUUGCUUUGCUCUGCCUCGGGCAUGACAACAAAUUGACCCAUGUGCCUGCUAAGCCUUUACAUCACCUCUGCUACCCAUGGCUGCAGCUGUGCCUGCAGCUCUGUACUUACUGCAGCUUUGUGUGCGCAGUGGAAAAAAACAGACUUCCUACAGACUUUGAGAUUUCCAUGAACAAAGUUAUUUUUACAAUCAAUCAGAUCUGUUAUGUGGCAUUAUUAUCCACCUGGAACCUGCUCCCAGCCCUGCUGCUGCCUCACUGUGUGAGCUGAGAUCGCAUCUUCCUUCCUGCCACAGCCUCCACCUCCCUGAGGGGGACUCCGAGGUCAUGAGUGGUUCCCAAGCACUCUGUGACAUCUUGUCUCCUGUGCCCCUGCUUGCUAUUACUGCGGAAGCACCACGUGGUUGUGGUGCUGCCACAACCCCUGAAACUGCCUGGAAAAAAUUGAUUAUGCAAAAAUGGCAUCCACAGCCGCUUGUUUCUGUGCAUCUUGAGCUUGCACACAGCCUUACUGUGAGACCUCAGCCCUUCAGAGUUUAGCACAACCCUUCUGAACUCACACACAUGCACUUUUUUCUUUUUUUCUUUUUCUUUUUUACUUUGCUGUGGCCAAAAAUCUGCUAAUGCUGCUGCUUCAGAGCACAUAACUUGGUUUGCACUUUCUCAGCUCCUGAUUUCUCUGAGGAAUCGCUGCAUACCAAUGGGGUGGCCAUAGAAAACCAGGUUAGUGCACAGUAGGGGCUUUCAUGGCUGCUAAUCUUGAUGACAAAAUUAUUCGAACAAACACUUCUUGUGUCACCAAUAUAUAUUAUGUAAAACCUUGUGACUUUGAUUAUGCGUCUAUAAUACAGAUUAGUCUGUUUGGGUGUUUGGUGCUGACCUCCAAUAAGCUCCUAAAGUAUUAGCAAGAAUUUGCAAGUGACAGGCAGGCAGAGGUGCUGCUCUGCCUAAUCCCAUUCUCAAAACUCGGACUAUGUGUGUCUGAACAGUUUCUGUUCCUUUCCUUAAAGCACUGGGUUAUUUCCUUCUCUGCUCCCUCCCCAUUGCCUUUGCCCACCUCUCCGCUGCUUUGAUGUAUCACAAAUGUUGGAAGAUUUAGCAAACCUUAUGGAUCAGAGCCAGGAAGACAGCGAGAACAAAUUUAGAAUAGGAGGCAGAGAAUGUACCAGCUGAGAGGUGAUGCUGUCAAUCUCCAUGGAGACCUCUUUAGUUACAGCUUUGCUAAUUACUCUGUUGAAUUGAAUAGCGUCUGCUAGAAAGUCCAUCCAAGUCAAUGGAGAGUUUCUAACUGACGUGUAGCUGCAGCUGCCCGCGUGUCAGCACUGUGAAGAGUGUGCAGGGCACAGCUCCUGAGUGUGACCAGUUUGAUUCACGUCUGUGGCUUCCUCUGUGAUGGUUAAAAUGCAACCGAAGGAGAAUCUAGACCUUGCUCUGGUCUUCUGCAUGGGGCCAGGAUCUCCUAAAAGAAUUACAGCCCCACAGAAACAAGUUUAGGCCUUGCCUUACCAAAAUCCUUAGUGCUAUGGAUUUAUAGCUAUGUUUAUAAAUGCAGGUGAACCAUCUCCGCUGUCUGCCAACAGCAUGUGGAUUUCCAACACGAGCCAUCAGGAGUUGAACUUGGAGCAGACCCACGGAAACCUUUUGGCUCCAAAUGUCCCUGCAGGACACUGAGCAGGAGCGCAGCGUGCCCCGGCCAGGCCACUUCCAUGGCUUGGGAGAGCAAGGUGAGAGUCCCCAGGCCUGGGCAGAGAGGAAUGCAGCCAGAUGCCCAGAGGGAAGCCAAGGAGCCCCUGAGCUGCUCAGCUUUCUGGGUUGGACAUCGCUCGGCUCAGAGGAGGCUCUGGGACCAACCCCCCGGGCAGAAGUUCAGAUCCACGCACUGCAGCUCGAGCUUGUCACUGCUCGAAGCUGAACUGCCUUUAGCCACUAAUCCACUGAACAAUUUCCAGUCGUUAUCAAAAUCUACCGGACUUCUUAACCACGAGUCCCUGAGCUGAUAUACCACCCCACUCAGGUUCCAGUUCCCUGCCUUGUUUGCUCAGAAAUGAUUUGUUUGUGCUACGAAUAGGAACAAUGUUAAAUUAACAACUGAAAAAGUAAAUAAUCCACCUAAUUUCUGAAGUGAUGUGUUGGGCGGAGCAGGUCCUUCUCAAUUCCCCAGAUACUGAAGACGUUUUCCAAUGCGAGCUGUGUGCCCUCACCUCCUGCCACCCCGUUCUCAAGGCCUGUUGGUGGAUUUCUGUAGGCCUGGACAUCGAAGCAUGGUGGAGCCUGGGGUGAGCAUCCAAAGUCUGUCCGCUGCUUGAUGCUAGAGGAGAGCUGGGAUGUGGGUACAGUGCAGCAUGAGCAAAAAUGAAGGGAAGAGGAGAACAUACUAGAAAAAUCUGAGAGCUGCCCUCAAUCCCAGCCCUUAGCACCACUGUCAGUGUAUCAGUUCCUACUUGGUAACUUGCUCGGAGGAGCUGUGAGUUUAGGUCAGAAGAAGGGCAAUUGCUAUGAGUUAGCUUAGCUCUGUGGGUACUGGGUUUGGCUUUCAAUUCAUUUCACCUUCAUUCCUCACCAGCCCUGCAGUCUGCCUGGGCCUUGGUGUUUUAUGGCUUUAAAUCUGUGUGCGGCUGUGCUUUAAGUGUGAUGGUUAUGUUUUCUGGCUAUCCCUAAAUCUUCCAGUACCUUACUGCCAGGACAGGGCUGGGUGGGGAAUGGGUGUUUCAAAUGCAGUGAUACAGCUGUAUCUGUGCUCACUGAUGAACUGGGGGUUAAACCUUUAAAAAGGUGUUUAAUAAUAACUUUAAAUGGCUGAGAUGUUGGUUAAAAGAGCUGGUGAAUUAAACCUGAAGUGCAAAGGGAGCAAAAGACUUCACAAGCCUUGAAAUACAGAAAGGGGCACAGACCUAACGGACGGAUGGGGGUUUCUCCAAAAAAGGAGAAAAGAACCCUUGCAGAAGCUCGGUCCCAGCCAGCAGCCUGCAAAAAGGCAGAGAUUACAUGGAAGCCAAUUAAAUCCAGAAAACUUCUGAGGACAAAGAAUGGCCCGCUGAUGUGGACGGGUCCCUGGUGGCUGCUGCGAGCAGCAGGCUGUCAAAGCGCGUCACAUCUCAGCACUGCUUGGCUCUGCCACGCGUUCCGGGGCUCCCACUGAUGCCCAAAGGCCCAGGGCUUCGCCCGAGGCUGGUGAGCACCUGUGAGUCCCAGACAAAACCCCAAGUAUCGCUCCCUUG